UACGUAGGCAGCAAGCGUUGUUCGGAGUUACUGGGCGUAAAGGGUGUGUAGGCGGUUGCUUAAGUUUGGUGUGAAAUCUCCCGGCUCAACUGGGAGGGUGCGCCGAAUACUGAGUGACUCGAGUGCGGGAGAGGAAAGUGGAAUUCCUGGUGUAGCGGUGAAAUGCGCAGAUAUCGGGAAGAACACCCGUGGCGAAGGCGGCUCUCUGGGACGGUACUGACGCUGAGACGCGAAAGCGUGGGGAGCGAACAGG
rnacentral:rRNA from 1 species